UGAUUGCGACGAGGGGACCGCCGCCAGCAGCAGCGUAUCGCCGAUUUCGUCUUUCGGUUUGCACUGCAUCUUUCAUUGUGAUAUGGGAGAUCGCAACGGACAGAGACGACCAGAUGCAUACGAACCACUACCAGCGGGGACCUGUGACCUGUGCCAUAUUUCUCUUAACGUCUCAGGUAUUCAAGAAAUGCCAACAUCCAGAAGACGCCAUCUUAUCCAGCACGUUAUGGGUACACUCUGGUGGCUCCCACCCCUGCAUCCUACCACCGCUGUGUCCUGACUACGUCCACUAGAGAGUUCGAAGCCUUUGGCGGCUCCUGCCACUGCGUCCUGCCACCACCGUGUCCUGACUACGUCCACUAGGGAGUUGGCAGCCUUCGUGAUGAUGCCAAGCAGGCUGGAAGCCGGCAGAAAGAUUAAGGUUGCCUCGAAAUUUUACCAAAGCCGUACCACACACUCGGGCCAGGCCUUUUUGCAAACGGCGUAUAACCAAGCUCAACGCAUGAGUGUCGAGUGAGUCUGGAGAUCAAGGCAACCUGCUGUGCAACCAGCAUGCAACCUUUGGUGACCCCUCUACAUGUUCCACCUAUUUCACAGCUGCACCUCAGCUGCAACUUAUCCAAACAGCAUCACCAACUGUGGUCACUCAUCGAACCAUGGAUGAAUGUUGGGGUGGAGUGAUUUGAAGAGACAUUCUAUUUGUCUCUUCAAAUUCUUAGCAAAUACUUGUGUUAUUAUAAUUAAUAUGUGUCUUUA